rnacentral:rRNA from 1 species
AUGCAACCGAAGCAUCCAUGGAUUAUUAUUUGGCACCAUCCUCCAAAUGAUCCAAUCUGGUCCAGGUAUUCUUCUAGAUCUGGCACAUUCUGGUCAGAGAUCCAUGCCCAUGCACGGCGUACUAGAGCGGAGGAGGUAGCGCCGUCCCGCCGAGCCGAGCACUUCUUUCUUGGACAGGACUGGAGAAAUUUCUAUGUUCUGGUCAGCAACCAGAUCGCUCUAGCUGUGAGUGUUAGCUUUUGCGGUGUUGCAGCAAUGGCGGUGACCACCUUGCAGUUCGUCGGCGCGUUCCUGCUGCCGCUGUUUGCCGUGGCUUCGUCUUUUGAUCCGUUCCACCGGGACGCGCAAAGGAUGGAUCCCAUGGGCGGCGGCCGGCAGCAGGGGCCCUUCAUCCCGCACGAGUACGUGCGCUUCGCCGACGUCAAGCGGCAGUGCCGGUCCGUGCUCUCCGCCGCCGCCGACCUCAAGUUCGACGCCAACCGCGCAGCCGCCCUCAUGCCGGAGCUUUCCUUCGUCAAGGGCGACUGGAAGCAGGACGUCGACGACGGCGCGCCGCUGAUGCCGUUCGACGGCACCGACGCGCCCGAGGGCGGCGCGGCAGGGGCACCGUCUGACCCGUUGCCGCUCGCCACGUUCAUGCUCACGCACGUCGACGUGGCGCUCCGUGGGAAGACGGCGCUCAACGUCAGCGGCGUCCUUGGUGUAGCCGUCUCCCGCAACGGCACCGCCCCGGAGAUGGGCCCCUACGUGUCGCCGGAGCUCAAGGUGUGGCCCGGGAGCACCGAGAUGAAGAUACUCUUCGAGGGCGUGUACACCGAGACCGGCAACGGCGAGAGCGUGCUGUGCCUGGUCGGCGAGGCCGUGCUCCCGCGGCGCGGCAAAGACGCCGCCAACCCGUGGGACUGGGCCAAGAACACCGACCGCAACAACUUCCAGCCUCCAAUCACCCACGACAAGAACAUCCUGCUCGUGCUCCGGUACCCCACCACGCUGACGCUUACGACGCGCACCAUACGCGGCGAGCUCACGAGCACCAACGGCAGGUCAGACGCCGGCUACUUCGGCGCCGUCACGAUGCUGUCGCAGCUGGGCGCCUACUCCAACUACAAGUUCGGGUCGGAGGAGCUCGUGAGCACAGCGUGCAGCCCGCAGCCUUACCGCGACGACAUCCUCGGCGACGGCCGUGGGAUAUACAGAGGCGGCUCGCUGUGCGGCAUCCUCGACCUGUUCACGUCGGAGGACGUGUUCGCCGUCGUGCCCAACUGGAAAUGCAACUCGACAGACGCUCUCUGCCGGCGGCUCGGUCCGUUCGAGAUCGACAAGUCGGUGGACGCGACGGACGGCGGGUUCAAGGAUGUCAGCAUCGUCAUGCAGGACAUCCGGUGCGAGCCGAGCACCGUUCCUGGUGAGAGAUCGGCCAAGGUCUCGGCGGUGUUCCGGGCCGUUGCACCGUGGGAGCACCGGUACACUGCCGCGAAGCGGAGCGGGCUCAGCGGCAUGACGCUGGCCGCCGAGGGCGUGUGGCGCCCGUCCACGGGCCAGCUCUGCAUGGUGGGGUGCCUCGGCGUCGGCAAGAAGGCGUGCCACUCCCGCGUGUGCCUGUACGUGCAGACGACCUUCUCCGCCACCCGCCGGGGCAUCGCCGUCGGGCAAAUCACCCGCAUCGACGGCGGCAGUGGCGUCGCCCACUCGCCGCUGACGUUCAAACGGGCGGUGCACCCGUCUGAGCUGUGGAACAGGUUCGGCGUCUCGGGCGGCGCACCGCUGAGCAUGGCGUACGACUACACCAAGCCCAAGCAAGCCGGCGAGUUCCUCACGCGCAGCGAGCCGUUCAUCUUCGGCACUGCCAUAGCCAAGUCUCUGCUGAGCUAUCCGCGAUUGGCGGGUGACCUUGCCCGCGACCUGUCCGGCCUCGCCGACGAGCUCACCCUCCAUGUGCCGGCCGUGCCCGACCCGUUCCCUCGCGAACGCUUCGAGCGGCCAUUCCUUCAGCUGGAGGUGCUCUCGCUCGGGCCGCUCGUCGGCCGGAAUUCGCCGGGGUUUCCAGGCGGCACGGAUGGACUUGACAAAAAAUCACCCUCCUCGGAAAUGCAGACGGCGAGGGCGACGUCUCUUCUCAACGUGUCCGCGGAGCUCACGCUCUCCGGGAGCCCCUACAUGAACGUGUCGGUCCUGUUCCUGGAAGGCUUGUACAACCCGGUGGACGGGCGGAUGUACCUGAUCGGGUGCCGGAGCAUCUAUGCGCCAUGGCGAGCCUUCUCGGCCAUGCGAGCGCUGGAGGACGGCAUGGACUGCUCUAUCGAGAUGAGGGUGGACUACCCGCCGACGACGGCGCAGUGGCUAAUCAACCCCACCGCGAAGGUGCACAUCACCAGCACGCGCGACGCCGGCGACCCACUGUGGUUUGACGCGACGUCGCUCCAGACGCUGCCGAUCAUGUACCGGGAGCAGCGGCAGGACAUCCUGUCCCGGCGGAGCGUGGAGGGGAUCCUCCGCGUGGCCACGCUGGCGACGGCCAUCGCCGCCGAGUUCAGCCAGCUGAUGUACAUCAAGGCGAACACGGAUGUGAUGCCGUACGUGUCCCUGGUGAUGCUGGGGGUGCAGGCGCUGGGGUACAGCAUGCCGCUCAUCACGGGCGCCGAGGCGCUGUUCGCCCGGAUCGCCGCCGCGGGGGGCUCCGUGGACGGCGUGGCGCCGCCGUCGUACGUGGUGGACAAGAGCCAGCUGUACUGGAUCAUCGACUGCGUCGUGAAGAUCCUCAUCCUCGCCGCGUUCCUCCUGACGCUCCGUCUGGCGCAGAAGGUGUGGCGGUCGCGGAUCCGCAUGCUCACGCGCUCCCCGCUGGAGCCCGGCCGCGUGCCCAGCGACCGGAAGGUGCUCCUCUACAGCUUCGGCGUGCACAUGCUGGGGUUCAUGGUGAUCCUGGGCGCGCGGUACGUGAGCGCGCUGGGGCGGCCGCUGCGGCAGGAGGACUCGUACAUGGACGCCCGCGGCAGGUCGCACGCGCUCCGGCAGUGGGCGGUGACGCUGGAGGAGUACGUCGGGCUGGCGCAGGACUUCUUCCUCCUCCCCCAGGUGGUGGGCAACGUACUGUGGCGGAUCAGCUGCAGGCCGCUGAAGAAGAGCUACUACGUGAGCGUGACGGCGGUGCGGCUGCUGCCGCACCUUUACGACUACGUCAGGGCGGCGCCGGCCAUCAACCCCUACUUCGCGGAGGAGUACGAGUUCGUCAACACCAGCCUCGACUUCUACUCGGCGUUCGGCGACGUGGCCAUCCCGCUGCUCGCCGUCGCGCUCGCCGCGGCCGUGUACGUGCAGCAGCGGUGGAACUACAAGAUCAUCAGCAGGACCGUGAAGACGCAGCAGAAGAAGCUGCAGCACCUCGGGUCCAGGGUCUACGAGCGGCUGCCGUCCAUGUCGUCCGGCAACUUCGAGGCCGAGCUCGUAUCCGGCGUGAACGAGGCCGUUGGGCUCGUCGGGCCACGCCGGGACGCCAGCCUCGGCUAG